rnacentral:rRNA from 1 species
AGUGGCGAACGGGUGAGUAACACGUAAGCAAUCUACCUUUAAGUUUGGGAUAACCUUGCCAACGCGGGGCUAAUACCGGAUGUGAUCAGCUUGGCGCAUGUCAGGCUGUUUAAAGGAGCAAUCCGCUUAAAGAUGAGCUUGCGGCCCAUUAGUUAGUUGGCGGGGUAACGGCCCACCAAGACCGCGAUGGGUAGCCGGCCUGAGAGGGUGGACGGCCACAUUGGGACUGAGAUACGGCCCAGACUCCUACGGGAGGCAGCAGUACGAGUUGCGCAUGGACGAAGUCUGACGCAGCAACGCGCGUGAAGGAUGACCGCCUCCGGAUGUAAACCCCUGUUGAAUGGAAAAAAAGGUAGCAAUAUUUGAUGGUACCAUCGAGUAAGCACCGGCUAACUACGUGCAGCAGCGCGGUAAUACGUAGGGUGCAAGCGUUGUUCGGAAUCACUGGGCGUAAAGAGAGCGUAGGCGGGAUCGUAAGUUAGGAGUUUAAUCCACGGGCUCAACCUGUGGUCGGCUUUUAAUACUGCGGUUCUUGAGUAUGGGAGAGGGCGAUGGAAUUCCAGGUGUAGCGGUGGAAUGCGUAGAUAUCUGGAAGAACACCAGUAGCGAAGGCGGUCGCCUGGCCCAAUACUGACGCUGAGGCUCGAAAGCUAGGGGAGCAAACAGGAUUAGAUACCCUGGUAGUCCUAGCCGUAAACGAUGAACACUAGUUGCUGGAGGAGUCAAUCUUUUCGGUGACGAAGCUAACGCAUUAAGUGUUCCGCCUGGGAAGUACGCUCGCAAGAGUGAAACUCAAAGGAAUUGACGGGGGCCCGCACAAGCGGUGGAGCAUGUGCUUUAAUUCGAUGCAACGCGAAGAACCUUACCUAGGCUUGACAUGGGGGUGAAAUUCUGUAGAAAUAUGGAGCCUUCCGCAAGGAACACCCUACACAGGUGCUGCAUGGUGUCGUCAGCUCGUGUCGUGAGAUGUUAGGUUAAGUCCUGCAACGAGCGCAACCUCGUCUUAGUGCUAACAGGUUACGCUGAGAACUCUAAAGAGACUGCCUGGAUUAACAGAGGAAGUGGGGAUGACGUCAAUCUCAUGCCAUACGCCUAAGCUAGAAACGUGCUACAAUGCCUGAUACAACGAGAGCCAAGCCAGUGAUGACAAGCUAAUCUCUUAAAACCAGUCUCAGUUCGGAUUGAAGUCUGCAAUUCGACUUCAUGAAGCUGGAAUCGCUAGUAAUCGCGGAUCAGCAUGCCGCGGUGAAUACGUUCCCGGGCCUUGUACACACCGCCCGUCAAGCCAUGAAAGAUGGCAGUACCCGAAGUCGCUUCUCUAACCGCAAGGAAGAGUGCGCCGAAGGUAAGGCUGUUGAUUGGGGCUAAGUCGUAACAAGGUAACC